CGUUUUCUUAAACGGGCCUCAUCAUGGAAAGACAUGAAUCUUGGGAAACAGCUUCAGAAAAAUUUUUGCGAGCUUUUGCUGCUGCUGCUGCUGCUGCUGGUGGUGCUUCCUGGUGGAGGAGUUUGGCCGAGGCAGGGAUUCAAAGCGAUCCCUCAGGGUCAUGCUUCCCAGUUGUUUAUGGGUCUCCUUGAGAGCAACGGUUCUCACACUGGCGAGGUUCUCUAAAGAGGCAAGUGUUCUCCGAGCCCAUCCUGAUGGCAUAGAUUUCGGGCCACCCCAGUUCUGCAGAAUGCAUGUCUGGGAAUCUGCACUGCCACUCCGUUUACAGGCAGGCUUG
rnacentral:lncRNA from 1 species